rnacentral:rRNA from 1 species
UACGGAAGGCAGCAGUGGGGAAUAUUGCACAAUGGGCGCAAGCCUGAUGCAGCCAUGCCGCGUGUAUGAAGAAGGCCUUCGGGUUGUAAAGUACUUUCAGCGGGGAGGAAGGCGAUGCGGUUAAUAACCGCGUCGAUUGACGUUACCCGCAGAAGAAGCACCGGCUAACUCCGUGCCAGCAGCCGCGGUAAUACGGAGGGUGCAAGCGUUAAUCGGAAUUACUGGGCGUAAAGCGCACGCAGGCGGUCUGUUAAGUCAGAUGUGAAAUCCCCGGGCUUAACCUGGGAACUGCAUUUUGAAACUGGCAGGCUUGAGUCUUGUAGAGGGGGUAGAAUUCCAGGUGUAGCGGUGAAAUGCGUAGAGAUCUGGAGGAAUACCGGUGGCGAAAGGCGGCCCCUGGGACAAAGACUGACGCUCAGGUGCGAAAAGCGUGGGGAGCAAAACAGGAUUAGAUACC